rnacentral:misc_RNA from 1 species
UAGGUUCCCCUCCCUAUAGAUCCUUGUGGAGGAAGCGAGAGGAAGCGAGAGUGAGCGCAGCAACUACGGUCCGAGGCGCAACUGUUUAUUUCUCCUUAGAUCGUUGCCCAAACAUUCAAAAUUGCAGACAUGAGCUAUGGUCGGGGCCCCCCCGAUAUCAAGGGGAUGACAUCGCUCAAGGUCGAUAAUCUAACGUAUAGAACAACGCCAGAAGACUUGCGGCGUUCCUUCGAGAAAUAUGGCGAGAUUGGAGACGUGUACAUCCCACGAGACAGGUUUUCUCGGGAGAGCAGAGGCUUUGCCUUUGUCAGAUAUUAUGAUCGCCGAGAUGCAGAAGAUGCUAUGGAGGCAAUGGAUGGCCGACGUCUUGAUGGCCGAGAGUUGAGAGUGCAGAUGGCUCGCUAUGGUCGCCCAGAAACCCCUCCACAUCGCAGACGUCGCCGACGGUACUCGGACAAUUCCAGGUCGAGGUCGAGGUCACGCUCUCGUUCAAGGUCACGCAGGAGAAGCCGCAGGUCACGAUCACGAUCCAGGUCGAGGUCACGCUCCCGCAGGAGGCACUCUAGAUCAAGGUCUGGCAGCCACUCACGCUCCCGCUCGCGUUCAAGGUCACACUCCGGAAGCAAGAGCCGCUCUCGCAGCCCAGAAGAACGCGAAUCGAAGUCCCCGGAAAAGCAAGAUAAGGAGAAUGGAAUGGAUGAGGCAGCUGCUAUGGAGGAAGAGCAAAUGGACCGAUCUCACUCGCGUUCUAAGUCCCGAUCGCGUUCAAGAUCUCGCUCUAAGUCUAGGUCAAGAUCUAAGUCGCGUAGCAAGUCCAGGUCCAGGUCACGCUCAAGGUCCGUGGAGUGAGAUGCACUGAACUCUGGAUGUUGCAUCCAUUCAUCAACAAUCAACUAAAUCACUGCAUCACAAGAAGACUUCUCAAUUCCUGUCCAGAUUUUUGCAGUACUGGCAUGCUGGGCAGGGCGUGGCAGUUGUUGCUGUUGCUGUUGUGUUGCUGUGGAGUAUGGCGGGUUGCUGUAGUGCGGUGUUAUGGCGGGAGCCGAGGCAGAGCCAGUCAGGCAUGCAGCCGACGGGGGGGCCGCAAGGCACAGUACUGGCUCGCAGGGCACCAGACCACUCCACCUUACUCAUUAACAAACCUGUCAUUAUCCCAUACUGUCCUGCUUCACUCUUUAUUUUAUUUUAAUUGUUUUCUUUCUAAUGUUGAGUCUCCCUCUUACAUUUACCCCCUACAAAUUUUUUUUGGUUACACUUGUCUCCUUCAAGGAGUACAGUUCAAUAGAAAACUGUUACAAUAUUGACCUGAACAUUCCUUAGAAAUACCUACUUUACUAGUCAUGUUACCAUGAUUGGUACUGUUAGUAACAAGUGUACUAACUGAUUUAUCCUGUCCUGAGUGCUGACACUGUGGUGCCCUGUGAUGCUGUGGAGGCGACUGGCAGCUGUGUGCGGGCACCUGAGAGUGGUGACUCGCUGCAGCUGUGGUAACCCUUGCAACGCUAGGGAUGAAGGGUGGGAGGGUUAAAAAAAAGCACUGGCUUUCACAGGUCAUGGAACAAAAGUUUAAUCGAAAGUAGUCGUCUUAUUUAUUAUCAUUAUUAUUACUGUUAUUACUGUUGUUAUUUUUUUACAAAUAAUAAUAGUAGUAGUAAUAAUGAUGGUUAAUAAUAGUAAUUCGUUUUAUUUAUUUACUUUUAACAGCGCUGUUAUUAUUGUUCAUGUUGGAAAUUUUUUACAUUCAUUAUUAUAUUCUCUUUUGGUUGUAAAGCUUUAUUCGUUUACACAUUUUUCGUAAUGCUGUUUUAUUUUUUUAUUUUUUCACUUGUGCUCUUUACUAGCUGAUCCUUGGAUUAGGUACCUGCCUAAUGCAAUAAUCAGAGCACAUAUAUUUGGUAUUCAAUAUAAUUUUUUAUUUCCUUUUUUCAUAUAUUUGUUAAUUAUUUGAUCAUGAUUUUUUAUUUUUUAUUUUUUAUUUUUUUUAUUUUUCAUAAUUAAAAUGUUCACUUUCAGGUUUGGUUUCGUGUUAACAUGAAACCUUGUGUGAUUGGGUUACAUUUAGUUGAUGUUUUGAUGCCUAGUUAGUAGGCAUAAUACAUGAUUAUAAAACCUGCUGUUUGGAGUUUAGGAUUUUAAUUUGGUUCUUUUUCAGGUGGUGGUAAAAACUAAGUGCAAGAUUUAUUAAAAUAACCGUCCUUCACAGGGUGUUCACAAAGGUUUAAAAGAAACUGAAUUGAAUUAUAGCUUUUAUAAAUUCAUUGGAUUUAAUUAGAAUAUUUGACUUUCGAUAUUGCUGAAUGUUUGGUAAUACUAGAAUACAAUUCACAAUCUUCUCUCAGAUAAUUUUGAUUUGCAGAUUUGGCAAAACUGUAACAAUAUAUUACAAAUCAGAGCACACAUUCACACCCCACACGCGGUUAUUAACCUGUCCUUGAACGAUAUGCAGUAACAUCUCUCCUUUACUUGUAAUGUUUUUUAAGUUGAUAAAUGGGGCUAGAAGACUAACAUGCUCUACAGUACAGAAUUUGAAAUUUAAGAUCAGGAAAAAGAGUUACAGGCAUGAAUUCACUUAUUAGACUGAUUUUCUUAUAAACUACUUAAGUUAAUGUUAAGUGAUGUUUGCUGCUGUUAAAACAUGAAACUGCUGUUAUGAAAAAACAUGACAAGAAUUACUUUCUGCGCCAGUAUAAAGCUACCUUGAUUUUUUUUUUUUUUUUUUUUUUGUCAAAAUGGUUAUACCAUUUAUCAGAUUAUACAAAAGCUACACCCCUCUAAUUUAAAAAUACUUGGAAAUUCAUUUUAGCCUUGCUUACUACAAUUAUUGGAAUAUGCAGUAUCAUAUCCGUUUGUCAAAGCACCAUUACAGGCAGAGAAUUUACAUAAACCUAUUGCAAAUAUAUAACCACUUUCGUUUGAACUUAUUAUAAGGAAUGAGAAGGCUACAUUUGUGGGUUGCAAUUAUUCUGAGGUAAGUACAUAUUAUCGUUAAUAAACAGGUGCUUUUA